AUGAAGAUCACCCUCCUUGCCGUGGCGGCGGUCCUGCUAGGCACCGCGUCGGCGGCGACCUACGGGGUCGGCGAGCCGAGCGGCGUGUGGGGCAUCAACACCGACUACGCCAGGUGGGUGGCCGACAAGAAGUUCCAGCCGGGCGAUGAGAUCGUCUUCAAGUACUCGCCCACGGCGCACGACGUGGUCGAGGUCAGCAAGGCCGGCUACGACUCCUGCAGCACCGCCAACGCCAUCAACACCUUCAGCUCCGGCAAUGAUGUCGUCGCCCUCAACGCCACCGGCACCCGCUACUUCAUCUGCGGCUUCCCUGACCACUGCGUCCCGCGCGCCCCCCUCACCAUGAAGAUCGUGAUCGACGUCGUGUCGGGCUCCUCCUCCUCCUCACCGGCGUCACCCAUGCCAGCCGCAGGUCCUGGCGCGAGCAGCUCUCCCCCAGUGCCGCCCUCCUCCGCCGCUACCUCCGUAGGGGCCACGGCAGGAUUUGGCCUCGUCGCCCUACUGGCGGCAGGUCUCAUGGCCUGA
rnacentral:rRNA from 1 species